CAGCCGCCGCGGUAAUACGAAGGGUGCAAGCGUUAAUCGGAAUUACUGGGCAUAAAGCGUGCGUAGGCGGUUUGUUAAGUCUGUUGUGAAAUCCCCGGGCUCAACCUGGGAAUUGCAGUGGAUACUGGGUCACUAGAGUGUGGUAGAGGAUAGUGGAAUUUCCGGUGUAGCAGUGAAAUGCGUAGAGAUCGGAAGGAACAUCUGUGGCGAAGGCGACUAUCUGGGCCAACACUGACACUGAGGCACGAAAGCGUGGGGAGCAAACAGGAUUAGAGACCCCCGUAGUCCCUGUCUCUUAUAC
rnacentral:rRNA from 1 species